rnacentral:rRNA from 1 species
UACGUAGGGGGCAAGCGUUAUCCGGAUUUACUGGGUGUAAAGGGAGCGUAGACGGCCAGACAAGUCUGAAGUGAAAAUCCAGCGCUUAACGUUGGAAGUGCUUUGGAAACUGCCGGGCUAGAGUGCAGGAGGGGUAGGCGGAAUUCCUAGUGUAGCGGUGAAAUGCGUAGAUAUUAGGAGGAACACCAGUGGCGAAGGCGGCCUGCUGGACUGCAACUGACGUUGAGGCUCGAAGGCGUGGGGAGCAAACAGG